rnacentral:rRNA from 1 species
UAGCUAGUUGGUGAGGUAAAGGCUUACCAAGGCGACGAUCUGUAGCGGGUCUGAGAGGAUGAUCCGCCACACUGGAACUGAGACACGGUCCAGACUCCUACGGGAGGCAGCAGUGGGGAAUUUUGGACAAUGGGGGCAACCCUGAUCCAGCCAUGCCGCGUGAGUGAAGAAGGCCUUCGGGUUGUAAAGCUCUUUCGGCCGGGAAGAAAUCGCAUGGGCCAAUACCCUGUGUGGAUGACGGUACCGGAAUAAGAAGCACCGGCUAACUACGUGCCAGCAGCCGCGGUAAUACGUAGGGUGCGAGCGUUAAUCGGAAUUACUGGGCGUAAAGCGUGCGCAGGCGGUUUUGUAAGACAGGCGUGAAAUUCCCGGGCUUAACCUGGGAACUGCGUUUGUGACUGCAAGGCUAGAGUACGGCAGAGGGGGGUGGAAUUCCACGUGUAGCAGUGAAAUGCGUAGAGAUGUGGAGGAACACCAAUGGCGAAGGCAGCCCCCUGGGUCGAUACUGACGCUCAUGCACGAAAGCGUGGGUAGCAAACAGGAUUAGAUACCCUGGUAGUCCACGCCCUAAACUAUGUCAACUAGGUGUUGGGUGGGUAAAACCAUUUAGUACCGUAGCUAACGCGUGAAGUUGACCGCCUGGGGAGUACGGCCGCAAGGUUAAAACUCAAAGGAAUUGACGGGGACCCGCACAAGCGGUGGAUGAUGUGGAUUAAUUCGAUGCAACGCGAAAAACCUUACCUACCCUUGACAUGCCAGGAACUUGCCAGAGAUGGCUUGGUGCCCGAAAGGGAGCCUGGACACAGGUGCUGCAUGGCUGUCGUCAGCUCGUGUCGUGAGAUGUUGGGUUAAGUCCCGCAACGAGCGCAACCCUUGUCGUUAAUUGCCAUCAUUUAGUUGGGCACUUUAACGAGACUGCCGGUGACAAACCGGAGGAAGGUGGGGAUGACGUCAAGUCCUCAUGGCCCUUAUGGGUAGGGCUUCACACGUCAUACAAUGGUCGGUACAAAGGGUUGCCAAGCCGCGAGGCGGAGCCAAUCCCAGAAAGCCGAUCGUAGUCCGGAUUGCAGGCUGCAACUCGCCUGCAUGAAGUCGGAAUCGCUAGUAAUCGUGGAUCAGCAUGUCACGGUGAAUACGUUCCCGGGUCUUGUACACACCGCCCGUCACACCAUGGGAGCGGGUUCCGCCAGGAGUAGGUAGCCUAACCGCAAGGGGGGCGCUUACCACGGCGGGGUUCGUGACUGGGGUGAAGUCGAACAAGGUAGCCGUAGGGGAACCUGCGGCUG